AUUGAAUGCUGGCGGCAGGCCUAACACAUGCAAGUCGAAUGGUAACAGGAAACAGCUUGCUGUUUCGCUGACGAGUGGCGGACGGGUGAGUAAUGUCUGGGAAACUGCCUGAUGGAGGGGGAUAACUACUGGAAACGGUAGCUAAUACCGCAUAACGUCGCAAGACCAAAGAGGGGGACCUUCGGGCCUCUUGCCAUCAGAUGUGCCCAGAUGGGAUUAGCUAGUAGGUGGGGUAACGGCUCACCUAGGCGACGAUCCCUAGCUGGUCUGAGAGGAUGACCAGCCACACUGGAACUGAGACACGGUCCAGACUCCUACGGGAGGCAGCAGUGGGGAAUAUUGCACAAUGGGCGCAGGCCUGAUGCAGCCAUGCCGCGUGUAUGAAGAAGGCCUUCGGGUUGUAAAGUACUUUCAGCGGGGAGGAAGGGAGUAAAGUUAAUACCUUUGCUCAUUGACGUUACCCGCAGAAGAAGCACCGGCUAACUCCGUG
rnacentral:rRNA from 1 species